rnacentral:rRNA from 1 species
CGACUGGCGACCGGCGCACGGGUGAGUAACACGUAUCCAACCUGCCUCAUACUCGGGGAUAGCCUUUCGAAAGAAAGAUUAAUACCCGAUGGUAUAAUCAGACCGCAUGGUUUGAUUAUUAAAGGAUUUCGGUUAUCGAUGGGGAUGCGUUCCAUUAGGCAGUUGGUGAGGUAACGGCUCACCAAACCUUCGAUGGAUAGGGGUUCUGAGAGGAAGGUCCCCCACAUUGGAACUGAGACACGGUCCAA